CUUUCCACCAGCUGCCUAAGAACUUCACCUCAGCGGAGGGGAGUUGUACCUUUUCUGCCGGAACCUGAAGUUCUCAACUUUCCAGCGUACACAGUUGGGUGACCUCUUCUUCAUGAUCUCCGUUUUGCAAGCUCAGCAACCUCGUUAUCUGUCCUGCCCGGAUGGUCCCAGGCUUGUUGGCAUAUUGGGCCCCCUUUAUCAGAGUCCAUUUAGUGGAAGACUGUUCUCUAAGUACUGGAGACCUUGAGCGUGAACGGUAUCUUCUGGAUGGGGCUGCCCUUGCCCUUGAACGGUGAUAACCAUCUGACCUUGACCUGCAACGAUUGUUA